GACGAACGCUGGCGGCGUGCCUAAUACAUGCAAGUAGAACGCUGAAGGAGGAGCUUGCUCUUCUGGAUGAGUUGCGAACGGGUGAGUAACGCGUAGGUAACCUGCCUGGUAGCGGGGGAUAACUAUUGGAAACGAUAGCUAAUACCGCAUAACAGUAGAUGUUGCAUGACAUUUACUUAAAAGGUGCAAUUGCAUCACUACCAGAUGGACCUGCGUUGUAUUAGCUAGUUGGCGGGGUAACGGCUCACCAAGGCGACGAUACAUAGCCGACCUGAGAGGGUGAUCGGCCACACUGGGACUGAGACACGGCCCAGACUCCUACGGGAGGCAGCAGUAGGGAAUCUUCGGCAAUGGACGGAAGUCUGACCGAGCAACGCCGCGUGAGUGAAGAAGGUUUUCGGAUCGUAAAGCUCUGUUGUAAGAGAAGAACGAGUGUGAGAGUGGAAAGUUCACACUGUGACGGUAUCUUACCAGAAAGGGACGGCUAACUACGUG
rnacentral:rRNA from 1 species